CUCCUGGCUGGGCAAAGGAUGUUAACAUAUAUGUCAGUUUAAGGGACUUAGAGACUUCUCCGUAGUUUCUGGAUGAAAAGUCACCAAAGAAAAUUCAUGACUGCAACAUUUUCUCUGAGCCCAAACUGAGGCAGACAGUGCAAGCUGCUGGUGGAUCUACCAUUCUGGGAUCUGGAGGAUGAUGGCCAUCUUCACAUAGCUCCACUAGGUAAUGCCCCAGUAGGAACUCUAUUUGGAGGCUCCAACCCCACACUUUCCUUCCACACUGCCCUAGCAGAGGUUCUUUGUGAGGGCUCUGCCCUUGCUGCAGGCUUCUGCCUGGACAUCCAGGUGUUUCUAUACAUUGUUUGAAAUCUAGGUGGUGGUUCUUAAACCUCAAUUAUUGUCUUCUGCGUACCCUCAGGAUCAACACAACGUGGAAGCUGCCAAGGCUUGAGGCUUGCACUCUCUGAAGCAACAGCCUGAGCUGUACCUGGGACCAUUUUAGCCACAGCUGGAACUGAAACAGCUGAGACACAGAGUGCCAUGUUCUGAGGCUGCAGAGAGCAGGGGGGCCCUGGGCCAGGCCCACCAAACCAUUUUUUCCUCCUAGGUCUGAGACUGUGAUAUAAGAGGAUUCUGUGAAGGUCUCUGACAUGCCCUGGAGACAUUUU
rnacentral:lncRNA from 1 species